AUCCAACUGACGAGUACCGAGUAGGACGAAACUCGCGUCCUGGAU
rnacentral:hammerhead_ribozyme from 1 species